rnacentral:rRNA from 1 species
AUUGAACGCUGGCGGCAUGCCUUACACAUGCAAGUCGAACGGCAGCACGGGUGCUUGCACCUGGUGGCGAGUGGCGAACGGGUGAGUAAUACAUCGGAACAUGUCCUGUAGUGGGGGAUAGCCCGGCGAAAGCCGGAUUAAUACCGCAUACGAUCUACGGAUGAAAGCGGGGGACCUUCAGGCCUCGCGCUAUAGGGUUGGCCGAUGGCUGAUUAGCUAGUUGGUGGGGUAAAGGCCUACCAAGGCGACGAUCAGUAGCUGGUCUGAGAGGACGGCCAGCCACACGGGGACUCAGACACGGCCCAGACUCCUACGGGAGGCAGCAGUGGGGAAUUUUGGACAAUGGGCGAAAGCCUGAUCCAGCAAUGCCGCGUGUGUGAAGAAGGCCUUCGGGUUGUAAAGCACUUUUGUCCGGAAAGAAAUCCUUGGCUCUAAUACAGUCGGGGGAUGACGGUACCGGAAGAAUAAGCACCGGCUAACUACGUGCCAGCCGCCGCAGUAA